rnacentral:rRNA from 1 species
GUGUCAGCAGCCGCGGUAAUACGUAGGGGGCGAGCGUUGUCCGGAGUUACUGGGCGUAAAGGGCGUGCAGGCGGUGCAGCAAGUUUGGAGUGACAGUUCCCGGCUUAACUGGGGAAGGCCUCUGAAAACUGCUGGACUUGAGGGCCAGAGAGGGACAUAGAAUUCCGGGUGGAGUGGUGAAAUGCGUAGAUAUCCGGAGGAAUACCAAAGGCGAAGGCAGUGUCCUGGCUGGCAUCUGACGCUGAGGCGCGAAAGCUAGGGGAGCGAACAGGAUUAGAUACCCUGGUAGUCC